rnacentral:rRNA from 1 species
GAUGAACGCUAGCGGCAGGCUUAACACAUGCAAGUCGAGGGGUAACAUUGUGCUUGCACAGAUGACGACCGGCGCACGGGUGCGUAACGCGUAUAGAAUCUACCUUAUACUAGGGAAUAGCCUUUGGAAACGAAGAUUAAUGCCCUAUAGUAUGAUUACUUGGCAUCAGGUAAUCAUUAAAGGUUACGGUAUAAGAUGACUAUGCGUUCUAUUAGCUAGUUGGUGAGGUAAUGGCUCACCAAGGCGACGAUCCCUAGCUGGUCUGAGAGGAUGAUCAGCCACACUGGAACUGAGACACGGUCCAG